rnacentral:rRNA from 1 species
CCUACGGGAGGCAGCAGUGGGGAAUAUUGCACAAUGGGCGCAAGCCUGAUGCAGCCAUGCCGCGUGUGUGAAGAAGGCCUUCGGGUUGUAAAGCACUUUCAGCGGGGAGGAAGGCGUUAAGGUUAAUAACCUUGUCGAUUGACGUUACCCGCAGAAGAAGCACCGGCUAACUCCGUGCCAGCAGCCGCGGUAAUACGGAGGGUGCAAGCGUUAAUCGGAAUUACUGGGCGUAAAGCGCACGCAGGCGGUCUGUCAAGUCGGAUGUGAAAUCCCCGGGCUCAACCUGGGAACUGCAUUCGAAACUGGCAGGCUAGAGGCUUGUAGAGGGGGGUAGAAUUCCAGGUGUAGCGGUGAAAUGCGUAGAGAUCUGGAGGAAUACCGGUGGCGAAGGCGGCCCCCUGGACAAAGACUGACGCUCAGGUGCGAAAGCGUGGGGAGCAAACAGGAUUAGAUACCCGAGUAGUC